rnacentral:rRNA from 1 species
UACGGAGGGUGCAAGCAUUAAUCGGAUUUAUUGGGCGUAAAGGGCGCGUAGGCGGGGAGGUAAGUCAAAUGUGAAAUCCCGGAGCUCAACUCCGGAACUGCAUUUGAAACUACCUCUCUUGAGGGUAGGCGGAGAAAAUGGAAUUCCACGUGUAGCGGUGAAAUGCGUAGAUAUGUGGAAGAACACCUGUGGCGAAAGCGGUUUUCUAGCUUAUUCCUGACGCUGAGGCGCGAAAGCAAGGGGAUCAAACAGG